AUCUGAUGGUGGGGACAACUAGUUCAUAAUCACCUUAAUCUUUCCCAAUAUUCAUAUAAAGACUCCCCAGUUUGUUGGCAAAUGCCACAGAUUUCCUUCCUGAUGUU